UCUUUUUCAAGGUGGUAGCCUUCGAUUUCAUUUUUAUCUUUUACUAAACAUUGUGAAACGCAACCUCGGUUGGUGUUGGUUUGACCAAUCAGAGCAGGACACGUUGGAAUUGAUAAGAGUUAUGAAUUUAUUUCUCGUAUACGAAGUGGCAAACGAUAUUAUCAUAUGAGUCAGGGUUAUUCCUGUUAGACCUGUGCGAGUGAUUAGAUCGUCAAGCCUAAUUGUCAAGUCAAAAUUAUACCCAAGUGUGCUAUAUUGUUCAUACCGAGUGUGCUUUUCUAUAUUAGUCUUGAAGUGAUAAAACGCGUGAUAGCUAACUUUGUUUUAUAAAGGAUCAUUGACAGACGAGCCGGGUUCUGAUACUUCGCGAAAUCUCCUAUCGCUGUUUCUUCAUAUCCGCGAUACACCCAGUACUGUAAUUGUAAAAUAAUAACAGGGAAAAUAAUGGAGCCCACCAAGGAACCAGAGGCCUAUGCAUGGGGUGGCAAUACUGGCAAUCAUGGCAACAAAUACGAAGAAGAUUUAGCAUUGGUGCUGUUUGAGCGAGCAUCUUUCGGGGAAUCAGAAUUCAAACUUGCCUCAGAAAUGAAGGACGCUGGAAAAUUUGAUGACGUAGUCAUAAUUUUCAAAGAACAGGAGGAAGUGUGGUUAAUGCAAGCCAAACACAAAGGCAGCUCAGGUGAUACAAAACCAUUAUCGUUCGACAAUUUUUUUCCGAAGAUGUUCAAGGAUAAUCAAGAUUUUGCUCUUGUGAAGUACAUACAGUCAUAUAUAGAUGUUAUGCAAAAAGAUGAGUUCAAGGAGUUGAAGGAGAA